AAAUUAGAAGUUUGAAUACUUUUACUUCGAUUUUUGUACUUGCUAUACGUAAAUAUUGGAAUACAGAAUUCAGUUAAUUAAGAUCAAAAGAUAAAAAUGUGAUUUACAGGAGAAAGUUCAUUAAAGCAUGGUGUCAUAUACCGUCAUAAAAAAAGGAAAAUUAAAAUAUCAAUGACAAGAGGAAAUUACUACUAUGUAAUUCAUUGGCAGUAACAUUGGAUAAAUAUUACAAAUUUUACUAUACGUUUACAAACAUACAAAGAGAAAGAGAAAAAGAAAGGGGGGAGAGAAUCGAUAAUAGCGUUUGCUAUCUAGUAGUCUGUCGAGGAGAAAACAUAUCCCGACCAACAGCGAAAAUGACAGAGAAACGUGUACGCUUCAAUUCACAGCCGCUUAAAUCUUACACCUGCAUGAAAUCUGAUUUCAAAGAUAUUGGAGUACUAAAAUACAUGCAGCUUGUAAACGAUGUUUAAUAAAUGAAAUGCACAGAAUGCAGUACAAUUGUGAAG
rnacentral:misc_RNA from 1 species